GCGAGAAACACCCAAGAAUGAUCAAUAAAAAAAAAUAAAAAAAUAAAAAAAGAAAAAAAAAAAAAGAAAUUUUAAAAUAAUAGUAUCAUGUCACUGAAGACCUAGGAAUAAAUCCAAUGAAGAGGCUGGGAGUGGUGGCUCACAUCUGUAAUCCCAGCACUUUGGGAGGCCAAGACAGGUGGAUCACUUGAGGCCAGGAGUUCGAGACCAGCCUGGACAACAUGGCGAAACUGUCUCUACUAAAAAUACAAAAGUUAGCUGGGUAUGGUGGCGGGCGCCUGUAGUUCCAGCUACUGGGGAAGCUGGGGCAGGAGAAUCAAACCUAGGAGGCGGAGGUUGCAGUGAGCCAAGAUUGCGCCACUGCACUCCAGCCUGAGCGAUAGAGCGACUCUGAUUCAAAACAUAAAUAAAUAAAAAUUUAAAAAAUAAAAAACAUCCAAUGAAGGAUGUGCAACAUCUCUACAAAGAAAUUAAAGACCUAAAUAGUUCUAGGGAUGACCAUAUACCACGUUCACAGGAGGAAAUCUCAACAUUGGCAAUAUGUCAAUUCUCCCCAACUUGAUUUACAGAUUCAACAGAAUCCCAAUCAAAAUCUCUGCAGGACUGUACAGUAAAAGAGGAAUUUUACUGUGUGUAAAUUAUACUUGAAAAAAGAAAUGAAUAAAAAAAACACAGGAGAGUUGUUUUGUUGGUUUUAGUAGAAAUUGGCAAGCAGAUUCUAAAGUUUAUAUGAAAAUGAAUGUUAAAAAGACAAGACUGUCCCAGAGAAUCUUAAAAAGAAAAGCCGAGCAAAGUAGGAAGACUUGCCUUGCCUGACAUCUAGAUUUACUAAAUUCUAAUAGUGGUUACUGCUACAAGAAAGUGCAGUAUUAGAACAGUCUGGUAUUGGUAGAAGGAUAGACAAACAGACCAGGGAACACAAGAGGGUCAAAAAGCAGACCUUCUCAUAUAUGGACACUGCCAUGAACAUUCUUGUACAGAUUCAUGAAUAUGUUCAUAUUCAAUGAAUGAAUAUGGGAAGACUCUUUAGCAGUAAAGAAAAUUGUUUAUUUUCUUCUGUUUAUUGACUGUUUAGUGACCCUUUCAAUAAAAAGUGAAGGAACAACUGAAAAUACAUAUGGAAAAACUUGUACAGAUUCAUGAAUAUAUUCAUAUUCAAUGAAUAAGCAUGAGAAGACUCUUCAGCAUUGAAGAAAAUUGUUUAUUUUCUUCUGUUUAUUGACCCUUUCAACAAAAAGUAAAGGAACAACUGAACAUACAUAUGGAAAAACUUGAAAACUGACUACUACUUAUCCUGUACAGUCUCAAAAUUUUUUUCAGAUCAACUCUAGAAUCCUACGUGAAAGCCCAUCAAAAUGAUUUCAUGAAGCAUUAAUGGGUAACAACUCACAAUGUAAAAAAUAAUGCUUUGAGAAACCACUGGAGAAAGAAACAUCACUUCGAUCUAGGAUGGCAUGAUAAACUCUUCGGAGAGAAUUUUAAGUUAAGAUUUGUGAGUAAGACUUAAAGUAGAGUAGAAUUUAUCAGCUGUAACGUGAUUUGCCCAAGAUUAUUUGUUUAUAAUAAAUGGCAAAACCAGGUCUAACAGAGCCCUCAGAAAUAAUAGCACACAUCUACAACCAUCUGAUCUUUGACAAACCUGACGAAAACAAGAAAUGGGGAAAGGAUUCCCUAUUUAAUAAAUGGUACUGGGAAAACUGGUUAGCCAUAUGUCAAAAGCUGAAACUGGAUCCCUUCCU
rnacentral:lncRNA from 1 species